rnacentral:rRNA from 1 species
GGGGGAAUUUNCCGCAAUGGNCGAAAGCCUGACGGAGCAACGCCGCGUGAGGGACGAAGGCCUCUGGGCUGUAAACCUCUNUUUCUCAAGGAAGANAGAUAUGACGGUACUUGAGGAAUAAGCCACGGCUAAUUCCGUGCCAGCAGCCGCGGUAAUACGGGAGUGGCAAGCGUUAUCCGGAAUUAUUGGGCGUAAAGCGUCCGCAGGCGGCUUUUCAAGUCUGCUGUUAAAGCGUGGAGCUUAACUCCAUCAUGGCAGUGGAAACUGAAAGGCUUGAGUAUGGUAGGGGCAGAGNGGAAUUCCCGGUGUAGCGGUGAAAUGCGUAGAUAUCGGGAAGAACACCAGUGGCGAAGGCGNCUCUGCUG